rnacentral:lncRNA from 10 species
CAGAGUUUGAUGACCCCAGGACCUGGAAUUUACCUAGUCAGAGAGAUCAAGGAAGGCUUCCCUAAGGAAGUGGUGCAGAGCUGAGAUCGGAAGAAGCAGGGAUGUUCUCCACAGAAAGAACAUGCUCAGAAGCCCAGUCAGCAGCAGGAAGGAGUGUGGUGAUUUUGAGGAACCGAAAGAAGACCAGCAUGGCUGGAGAACAGAGGAUGGGGGUGUGAUAUGUGACGAGCGAAGAGAAGUCACCCGUACUUCAUUUACCAGUCCUUGCUAAGGAUUAUUCAUUAAAACACACAACAGCAACAAUAACCACAAAAGCAACAAUAAAAAUACCUUUGAACUCACUCAAUCUUGAACUAUUGAACAUGCUAAGUCCGUGUCAUUGGCCUACUUAAUCAGCCCUCGAUUGUAACUUGAAGAAGCUUAUUGAUAAGAAAAUAAACUUCUCAUAAAGUAUAACUACUUUCUUAGC